rnacentral:hammerhead_ribozyme from 1 species
AUCCAGCUGACGAGUCCAAAAUAGGACGAAACGC